GCCCAGAAGGCAGCUCGAGAAGCUGGAGCCGUUGGAGCCCUCUGCCCUCCGCAGGUACACCAAACAGAUUUCUUCUCCACGUGGUCUACUUGGUCGUAGAAUAC